CCAAAGCAAGUUUGUAUCUCAAGUCAGUUACCAGAGGAAAAGAUAUAUGUAAAUGUUUGGUGACCAUUUUUAAGAUUACUUGAAGCCCUGCGAGUAUUUGCUGGGUAUUUUUCCUGUUUACAUUCCCUGCACUACCUUCCAUAAGACAUGCAUCUGAGAUCAGUUCUUCUAGUUUUUGGCAGCGCCCUUCUAAUGGAGGUGUCUGAUGGCAAUGAAGGUCGGACCAAGAAUCACACCCUGUACAGCAAGCAGAUGAACAGGCUUGAGGAGCAGCGGAGUGAGAGAGGU